GGGGCAGGACAAGGGUUUUGUAGGAGGGGCUGACAGCGGCUUUGCAAAGUUUAUAAAUUGUAAAAAGAGAGAGAGAACCUUUAACAUUUUUUAUUUUUUUUUUUUUUUGGGUGGGUGGGUGGCCAAGCACAGGAUCCGCCCCGGGUGCCAAAUGCUCUAGGUACGCCUCUGCUCCUUAGUCCACUGUCACUGCUCGGGGACUUUGCAGAAUUUGAAAAGCCCCCCCCUUUGGUCACACAACCCAUGGGGCCCCGGUGCGAAAACUGAUCAUAUUUUGGCCCCCGGUCUCAUUGAGUGGCGCGCUGGGGAGGGGGAGCAAAGACAGAACAGCCAGCUGCCUGCCCAGCCCCAGGUGCCAACGGCCCACCGGGAAAUUUCCCGGUGGGCCAGUCCGGCCCUGCCCCCCAGCCUCCUUACCUUUGG